CGUUCUAACAAGCUAGGAACUUGAUCUGGCCAAUACUAACUUCCUCUCUGCAUAUGUCCUCUUUUCCCCCAAAAAAAUCAUGCUGGUGCCAUUCUUAGUUAUCUUAUUUCAGAAUCUUGUAUUGACAUUCUUUGAUUCUGCAGCUUUAGUAAUAAACUCCACAAGAUUUAAUUAGAUUAUUGCAAAUUAUUGUAGAUGGAAACUGUGGCAUGACCGUGAGACAGGUUGCAAGUAUUCUCUUGAAGAACUUUGUUGCGAAAAACUGGUACCCUGCUGAUCCUGGUAUGUGAAGGUGAGGAGGAAAACUGAACAAUGAUAUGAUAGGGUCCCUCCUUAUGAUAAGGCAGCACUAUUUUUUUUGCAGUAUUUGCUUAAUGCAAGAAGAGUGUUCACAUGGAAUGCAGAAAAAAAAUAAGAAUCUUGAGAAUUGGAGAGAGCAGGCGUUGCUGUGUAAAAUAGGCUUGUUAUUAGUCUCUAUUUGAUGAUGUAUGAAAGUUUCUGGUAUUUCAAGUUGUUUAGCUAGUUAGUCUACAAGCCUGAUUUGUAUCUGUAGCAUUCCAUUUGAGUAAUAAUCUUUGGAUAAAGAAUUACCAUUUGCUUUACAUUAGAUAUGAUGGAUAAUAUUAAAUUGAACUACAAUUUUUUUAUGGUGCCAUGUGUGUUUUGGCGGUUGGUAGCCAAGGAAAUCCCAAAAUUUUUGGCGGGCAAUGGCAGCCAAGGAACCAUAUAUCCUAGGCAGGUGUGCGCAGCCAAGAAAUGCGUUUUCCAUGGUGGGUCAUGGCAGCCAAGGAUUUUGAUUUCCUUGGCGGUUGUUAAUUUUUCUUGGCGUUGUGUAGAUUUUGCCGGUGUUCUGGUUUUCUUGGCGGCCGUACCGCCAAGGAAACAAUACUUGGCGGCUAGCAGCCAAGGAAAUUGAAUUUCUUUGACGCUCUACUCCUGGCGGAUUUUGCUUGGCGGCCAGGAUCAUUUCCUUGGCGGUUUAGGCAUUUUUCUUGGUGGUUUUUGGCCGCCAAGGCAAUUCGAUUCUGGUGUAGUGAAUGCUAUUUCGACUUGCAGGCAGCAACACCAAAUCUAUAACGUAGAGGAUGAGAGUCUUUCUGUGUAUUGCUGGUGCGUCCACGCACAUUGUGGUGACGAACAGACGGGGAUGUUGAAGAAGGGAACCGGCUCCAAUCUGCUGCUCCUAUUUGUCAUCUGUAGGCUACAUUCUAGCAGUACAUGAAGAGAAAUAAUGAGGUGCCUCUGGAGGGAUGGUGUGUGUUGGCUCUGGGCUGCAUGGAAUCAUGGGGAGGUUUAGUCAACUGGUUGUUAUUUUGGGGAGGUUUAGUCAACUGGUUGUUAUUUUUCAUCAUCUAAAUUAUUUUGUGAGACAAAGGAAGCAACAAUGUAGAUGAAUUUUGUCCGAGCUGAACAAUACCACGUAUUAGCUCCAGAUUGUUCUCGAUAACUUACCUUAGAAUUCUUUCUGCUAAAUUUCUAUUUUCCUUGGACCUUUCCAAGCUGAAUUAAAUUCCUUUUCUAGGUCGUUUCAUUCUUAUCACAAAUGUUGGUUGAACAUAUAACUUAUGGGUACUCUCGCAGUGGUGGUGGCAACAUUCGGAGGGUCUAAGAUUAAAGCAAACAAAUUGAUGAACAACAAGGAAUCAGUAGCGGGUGCAUCAUCGAUGGUGCGCGCCAAGUGAAGAACAUAUCAACUAUCCGCUCAGCCUCCUUUCCCCACUCCUGUCCAGCAAGAACCCGUAGCAUCUAUUCAUUUGAUUGGUCGGAGGAUGAGACACUAUCACCCAUGACGACAUCUCUAAAAUUAUGAUUGGAGAUGAUCAGGAUGGUGAAAUCUCACUCAGUUACGGUGCUACUCCGGUGUGGCAGGGAUAGGGCUCGACUCUGAUGAUCCCCUGCCUGGUCACUAGGAACGGUUCUGCUCCCGUUGUUCUUAGGGUUGUAUCCUGCUCCGGCGGUGGCAUGCUCCUUUGCUCCCAAGGUCAGUGGAUCUCUUUCCUUUCCUUCUAUACCUUGCCUGUCUUUAAAAUGUUACAUGUUUAUCUGGCUUCUAGAGGUUUAUCUGAUUGAUUAUCGUGCAUUAGCCGGAAUGAAGUUUUUUCUUUGUAUGUC